rnacentral:rRNA from 1 species
AACGAACGCUGGCGGCAGGCCUAACACAUGCAAGUCGAGCGAGGACUUCGGUUCUAGCGGCGGACGGGUGAGUAACGCGUGGGAAUGUGCCCUUCUCUACGGAAUAGCCCUGGGAAACUGGGAGUAAUACCGUAUACGCCCUAUUGGGGAAAGAUUUAUCGGAGAAGGAUCAGCCCGCGUUGGAUUAGGUAGUUGGUGGGGUAAUGGCCUACCAAGCCGACGAUCCAUAGCUGGUUUGAGAGGAUGAUCAGCCACACUGGGACUGAGACACGGCCCAG